CCUACGUGGACUGCAGUGGGGAAUAUUGGACCAUGGGCGAAAGCCUGAUCCAGCCAUGCCGCGUGUGUGAAGAAGGCCUUCGGGUUGUAAAGCACUUUCAGUGGGGAAGAAAGCCUUGGGGCUAAUACCCUCGAGGAAGGACAUCACCCACAGAAGAAGCACCGGCUAACUCCGUGCCAGCAGCCGCGGUAAUACGGAGGGUGCGAGCGUUAAUCGGAAUUACUGGGCGUAAAGCGCGCGUAGGCGGUCUGAUAAGCCGGUUGUGAAAGCCCCGGGCUCAACCUGGGAACGGCAUCCGGAACUGUCAGGCUAGAGUGCAGGAGAGGAAGGUAGAAUUCCCGGUGUAGCGGUGAAAUGCGUAGAGAUCGGGAGGAAUACCAGUGGCGAAGGCGGCCUUCUGGACUGACACUGACGCUGAGGUGCGAAAGCGUGGGUAGCAAACAGGAUUAGAUACCCGGGUAGUC
rnacentral:rRNA from 1 species